UUCCGCCUACGGGAGGCAGCAGUGGGGGAUAUUGCACAAUGGGGGGAACCCUGAUGCAGCGACGCCGCGUGGGUGAAGGAGCGUUUCGGCGCGUAAAGCCCUAUCGGCAGGGAAGAAGAUGACGGUACCUGACCAAGAAGCCCCGGCUAACUACGUGCCAGCAGCCGCGGUAAUACGUAGGGGGCAAGCGUUAUCCGGAUUUAAUGGGGGUAAAGGGGGCGCAGACGGCAAUGCAAGCCAGGAGGGAAAGCCCGGGG
rnacentral:rRNA from 1 species